CUCUGUCUUUCCAUUUUUCUGAGCCUCUUACCUGGAAGCUUGAUUUGAUUGAACAGAAUCCAAGGAUGCCAUUCACAUUCUUUCCCUGUAGGCUCUGAGAUCUUCUGUCUGUACAUACUUAGGACAUUGAUGUAUUUACUGGGUGGGAAUGAGCAUGGGAGGAACUAAAUAUAAAACAGUAGAAAAAAAUUGUAUUGGGGAAAUAACUAUUAAAAAUAAUAAUAAUAAUAAAAACCUUGCACUGUUAGGAGUUCCCACUCUGGCACAGUGGGAGGGGUUGCGUCUCUGUAGCACCAGGACGCAGGUUCGAUCCCUGGACCAGCACAGUGGUUUAAAGGAUCUGGCGUUGUUUUGGGUUGCAGCUGUGGCUUUGAUCUGAUUUGGGAACUCCAUAUACCAUGGGGCAGCCAAAGAAGAAAACAAAAACAAAAACCUUGCCCUAUUCUGAGACGUCACUUAGUGAAUCCACCACAGCUUGGUAAACACCAUCCUUGAUAUAGUGUGAAUUCUAUUUCUAUUACAUUUAAGAGUUUAAUCCCUGACUUUGGAAAGUGUUUGUAUCGGGUAAUAACACAUUCACAGACUAACAACUUCCCUUUAGGUUGUGAACACACACACACACUUUUAGGAUUUCUACAUUAACUUAUUUUCUAAAACAAAUUUAAACUCUUUAUCCAUUAUAUCUUUGCACAUCAAAUGUAGUAUGUAAUUAUUAUUGCCUUGAGCCAAGAAUUAUUAUCAUUGCCUUUUUUAAAAAAAAACUACAAUCUUAUGGUACCAAAGUGGCUUCUUCCUUAAUACAAGUGGUUCAAUGUGUUUCUAUAAGCAAAUGUAUUAACCUCAGAACUGAAAUAUUUGAUAUUGAUCUCUUUUCCUUUUGGCAUUUAUUCCAGCACAACUUUGAUCUUCAGAUUGGAGUUGUGUGUUGAACCUUAACUAGACUAAAAUCAAUUUUUAAUAAGAAUUCUCACUGUUGCAGUUUCUUCUAUCUAAUUGAUAGCAUAGGCUUGUGUUAAAUGAAAAAUGCAUUUUUCAAGCAUGUUCUCAACAACAAAGUGGAAGGAAUUGGACCAAGCCACUUUAAGCUCUGAAUAAGGAUUAAGAAUUCUCUGGAAAGAGAGUUUGGAAUUAUAUUAAUGUACACGAAUGGCACAUGUCUCUCAGGAGUUAUCCUGGAUCUAUGUAUGGUUCUUACUCUCAAUCAUGUUACCUUUCAGUUAGCUUUUGUUUUUGGUUAAAAAUAACUGCAAGGCCAACACAGUGCUUGUUGUGUGUAAUUAAAUGAAAAUGAUUAAUCUUUCCAUUAAAAAUGAUUGUUUUAUUUUCUCUCUUUUUUUUUUUUUUUGGCUUUUUGCCAUUUUUUGGGCCGUUCCCGUGGCAUGUGGAGGUUCCCAGGCUAGGGGUCGAAUCGGAGCUGUAGCUGCCAGCCUACGCCAGAGCCAUAGCAACGCGGGAUCUGAGCCGAGUCUGCAACCUACACCACAGCUCAUGGCAAUGCCGGAUCGUGAACCCACUGAGCAAGGGCAGGGACCGAACCCGCAACCUCAUGGUUCCUAGUCAGAUUCGUUAACCAUGCGCCACGACAGGAACUCCUAUUUUCUCUUUUAAAAAGAACAUGGAAGCAAAUCUUGUGAGAAACCACUGUAAGACGGUCGAUAUUAUAAUUAUCAGAUUUAAUUUUAAAAUGACUUCAUAUUAAAAUAUAUAAAUAUAGCAAGCCAACAUGUUCUACACCUUGAACAAUGCUGUAUGUUAAUUAUAUCUCAGUCAAAAAAAAAAGCAUAUGAAUGAAUAUAUCCUGAAGGAUCGACACAUCUUUUCAGUUAUAAUGUAAAAAAAAUUUUGAACUCAUCUUUCUAUAGUUUUGCCUUUUCUGGAAUGUCAUUUGGUUGGAAUGAUACAUACAGGCUUCUUUCACUUAAAAAUGCAUUUAGUAUUUCCCACUGUGGUGCAGUGAGUUAAUUCAACUGCAGAGAUGCAGGUUCAAUCCCCAGCCCUGCGCAGUGGGUUAAAGGAUUAGGUGUUGAAGAGCUGUGGCAUGGUUCACAUCUGUGGCUCGGAUUCAGUCCCUGGCCAAGGAAAUUCCAUAUGCCACAGGUGCAGCCAUUAAAAAAAAAAGUUUUCCCCAUGUCUUUUUGGCUGAGUAAUACUCCACUAUAUGGAUGUACCAUGGUUCAUUCAUCCAUUCACCUAUUAAAAGACGUCUCAGUUGCUUCCAAGUUUUGGCAGUUAUGAAUAAAGCAGCUGUAAAUAUUUCUGUGUGGAUUUUGUGUGAACAUAAGUUUUAAGUGAUUUGGUUAUAUAUAUUGGUAUCCAAUUGCCAGAUCAUAGAGUAAGAUUUUGUUUAACUAAGAAACUGCCGGAGUUCCUGUCGUGGCGCAGUGGUAACGAAUCCCACUAGGAACCAUGAGGUUGUGGGGUCGGUCCCUGCCCUUGCUCAGUAGGGUAACGAUCUGGCGUUGCCGUGAGCUGUGGUGUAGGUUGCAGACGCUGCUCGGAUCCUGCGUUGCUGUGGCUCUGGCGUAGGCCAGGGGCUACAACUCCAAUUCGACCCCUAGCCUGGGAACCUCCAUAUGCCGCAGGAGCGGCCCAA
rnacentral:lncRNA from 1 species